rnacentral:rRNA from 1 species
UACGGAGGGUGCAAGCGUUAUCCGGAUUCACUGGGUUUAAAGGGUGCGUAGGCGGGUAUGUAAGUCAGUGGUGAAAUCCCCAAGCUUAACUUGGGAACUGCCGUUGAUACUAUAUAUCUUGAAUAUCGUGUAGGUAAGCGGAAUAUGUCAUGUAGCGGUGAAAUGCAUAGAUAUGACAUGGAACACCAAUUGCGAAGGCAGCUUACUUUACGAUGAUUGACGCUGAGGCACGAAAGCGUGGGUAGCGAACAGG